GAUGAACGCUGGCGGCGUGCCUAAUACAUGCAAGUAGAACGCUGAAGGAGGAGCUUGCUCUUCUGGAUGAGUUGCGAACGGGUGAGUAACGCGUAGGUAACCUGCCUGGUAGCGGGGGAUAACUAUUGGAAACGAUAGCUAAUACCGCAUGACAACAGUUAUUGCAUGAUAACUGUUUAAAAGGGGCAACUGCUCCACUACCAGAUGGACCUGCGUUGUAUUAGCUAGUUGGUGAGGUAACGGCUCACCAAGGCGACGAUACAUAGCCGACCUGAGAGGGGGGUCGGCCACACUGGGACUGAGACACGGCCCAGACUCCUACGGGAGGCAGCAGUAGGGAAUCUUCGGCAAUGGACGGAAGUCUGACCGAGCAACGCCGCGUGAGUGAAGAAGGUUUUCGGAUCGUAAAGCUCUGUUGUAAGGGAAGAACGAGUGUGAGAGUGGAAAGUUCACACUGUGACGGUAUCUGACCAGAAAGGGACGGCUAACUACGUG
rnacentral:rRNA from 1 species